AUGUCCGCCGCAAACAGAUCAGGUCCUUCUGAUCGCUGACCACGGAUGUACUGGCAGCAAUCAUCGAGGGACCGGAGAGAAGGUCGGGCUUGCCCGGCCUUUUUUGCG
rnacentral:ncRNA from 1 species